rnacentral:tRNA from 1 species
GGUCCAGUGGCGGAAUUGGUAUACGCGCAACACUUAAAAUGUUGUGUCCAAAAGGCAUGUGGGUUCAACUCCCACCUGGACCA